GUCACAAUAUUACGUAAUCGAUUUUGCUGGACGGCAGAAGUACACAUUCGUACAUAGGAAUUAUAUGCAGACGAAGACAACUUUGACCAUAAAAUACCAAAGAAACACGUAGUUCUUGUAUUUUUUUUAAACGGGAUAUGUACCUGGCGUUAUCAGGCUAGGUUGGCCACGGUGGAUGUGUUCAAAUCAUAGAUUUAUUCAAAUGUAUUCUGCUCCACUAGAUGGCAUAACGCGGACGGGCGGUACGAGAAACUGGGAGAAGAAGAGAAAGUUGUUGCUUGCUUCCAGCCAUGAACUUACUCUGCCUGCGAUAUAUUUUUUUUAUCCCGUGUUUAUUUUCUUCAGUAAAGUUGUGAACUUAAACCAAACCUCUGCAUUGGCAAAAUAAGCACAUUUAUGCACCGUUUCUUCAUUGGUGGCUGGGCACCGCGGCUGCAUCCUCUUCUUCGUGGCAUGGCACAGUAAUUGCAGGUUCAUCAGUCAGGUGGUCAGCACCCAAACUAAAACCAUGCGUCAUGGUGGCCAGGAAUUGCAUCCCAGCAGCACAGAUGGGGGAGCCAACAUGAAGAGGUGUCUAGAAAGGCUUCUUCCUCUUUGGCUUUGCAGCAGCACCAGGACCUCACCAUCAGUGAU